UGGGGAAUAUUGCACAAUGGGGGAAACCCUGAUGCAGCGACGCCGCGUGAAGGAAGAAGUAUCUCGGUAUGUAAACUUCUAUCAGCAGGGAAGAAAAUGACGGUACCUGACUAAGAAGCCCCGGCUAACUACGUGCCAGCAGCCGCGGUAAUACGUAGGGGGCAAGCGUUAUCCGGAUUUACUGGGUGUAAAGGGAGCGUAGACGGAGCAGCAAGUCUGAUGUGAAAGGCGGGGGCUCAACCCCCGGACUGCAUUGGAAACUGUUGAUCUUGAGUACCGGAGGGGUAAGCGGAAUUCCUAGUGUAGCGGUGAAAUGCGUAGAUAUUAGGAGGAACACCAGUGGCGAAGGCGGCUUACUGGACGGUAACUGACGUUGAGGCUCGAAAGCGUGGGGAGCAAACAG
rnacentral:rRNA from 1 species